UACAGAGGGUGCGAGCGUUAAUCGGAAUUACUGGGCGUAAAGAGCGCGCAGGCGGUCGUACAAGUCGCGUGUGAAAGCCCCCGGCUCAACUGGGGAGGGUCACGCGAUACUGUUCGACUCGAAGGCAGGAGAGGGAAGUGGAAUUCCCGGUGUAGUGGUGAAAUGCGUAGAUAUCGGGAGGAACACCAGUGGCGAAGGCGACUUCCUGGACCAGUACCGACGUCAGGCACGAAAGCGUGGGGAGCAAACAGG
rnacentral:rRNA from 1 species